UGGGGUUCCGCAGAAAGCCGAUCUCAAGUAUCAGCUUGGUCUGUGGGAGAAGGGCACGUGUCAGCCGGGUCACAAGCCGCGGCUCAGACGGCGAUGCUUACAGAGGCCUACUCGGGCCGCGGCCGCACCAUUCGUCCCCGAGAGCGCGACUGGGUCCCGCCAGGAAGGGAGGGGAGGGCAGCCCAGGGCUCACCUGAGAGCGGCAGGUCAAGGCGUUGAAGAGGUCGAAGAACACAAAGCAGGUGAAGGUCAUGGUCGUGGUACGCGGGGUGCUCGCCUUGUCUGCGGGGAUCUGGAACACAGAGGAGCGCAGGGUGGGCAGGCCCCGGGAAGGGGGGUGCUUCUCGUGAUGAUGAGCACGGAGGGAGCAGGAACUCGAGGGGCCUGGACCGCCCAGCAGAGAGCGGCUCUGCUAGGAACUGACCACGACCGCCCCCUGGGCUGGAGUAAGGGGGGUGUCUCACGACCACCCCACAUCCCCCCCCCCCCCCCCGAGCUGAAACCCUGCACAGGUAAAGGGAGCGUCCCUUCCUGCUGCAGGUGACAUUGCCUCCUGGGACAGGACAGGGCUAUAGCUGCAUCCACUGAGUGUCACGGACAGAGGACGCACACCCUCCCUGGUGCUGCUGUAGGGACCUGAGGCAGGUCUCCUCCCGGGCCUGGCCUGGAGCCAAGGUGGAGCACAGGCUGGACACGGGCGGCCACACCACCUUCCCGGGCAGAAGAUAAAGAGGGUCCCACUGAUGAUGACAGCAGCCGACAGGAGGAUUUUCAGGAUCAGGGCUUUGCCGAGAAUCGUGUCCUUGACGUUCCGCGGUGGCUGUCGGAGGGCGUCUUUGUCAACCGGCUCUACCCCCAAGCUGCUCGGAACAAGACAGGGGAACCUUGACAUAAACCACGAGGACACUUAAAGUGCUGAAGCUGUACAGGCUCUCAGGUCAGCCCCGAAGACACAGCAAAGAGGGGGCUUUGGCCAAGUGCCCCCAGGUCGUCGGCAGGAGCUCGGUCUGGUCCCACUCUUAGGGGGACUUCUCCGUCCUUGCUGGAAGCCCGCCCCUCACAUCCUCUGCCCUGGCCCUAACUCCUUCCAGGGUCCCCACCCCCCACCCCACCGGCCUGGGCCCCAGGGGCAGCCACACACCCGUCCCUGAGCACGGCGGAGGAAAACCACCCCCUGGCCGACCACACCACCGUCCUGGAGCCACUCUGGGUCACCCCUCAUGAUCGCACAGCUUCCAUCACAAGCGGACGCCCAGCAGCCUGGAGAAACGGGGUCCAGACGCCGCCCCCCAGGGACCCGCCUUCGGCCGACUGUGCAACAGCGGGACUGGGGCUAGACCAGCGGAAGACGGGACGCGGGGCACCGAGGAGGAAGCCGGCUGCAGAGACGGCUGCGGCCAACUUCCCUCCUGGCCCUGCUCCCAGCGUGUGAAGAGGGACCUCCCCCUGGGCCCGGAGGGACAAAGCGGGACUCCUGCCCUCAGCGGCAGCAACUGUGAUAAUUCAUGGUGACAUAUAUGUAUCACAUUUAUAUCACACACACAUAUAUAAUCAACAACAGCAUGUACUGUGUGCUCGAACCCAGUGCCUCGCUUGCUCCUGGACGUCUGGCUCCCCGACUCCGAAGGUGGUUCUUCCUCCUGCCCGUUCAGCUACCCUCACCCUCCCUUCUCACCCAUCCACCCAGCAACUAACUCGCCGACCACCUACUGUGUGCCCAGCACCGUCCCGGGAAAUGCUACGAGGAACAGAAACCUUGCCGUAGGGGAAACGGGUCAUAAUCAGAUAAACGAGGACAUACGUAUUUUCUCCUCUAGGGACAAAGAAAGCAGGGUAAGGAGGGAGAGCCCGGGGGCUGCUGUUAGAGCGAUCACGGAGGACAUCUCCCAAGUGGGGACGUGAAGAGAGGGACUGAGGCGUGGAGUCACCCAGGGAGCACAUCCCCCCCUCGGCCGCCGGCCCCGGCUGCCCGUGCAGGUGCUUCCUCCCAUGCCCAGGGCAUCCUGCUGGCUGUCUUCCCCACAGUGCGCCACACUCUGGCUUUGCAGGACUCCCGGGGACGGCCUCCCGUACUCGGUGCAAGGGACCCGAGGCGGCGGAGCCUCGCGGACAGCCCGGCGCCUCACCUCUGCGCCGGUGGCCCGUCCAUGAUGAUGUUGAUCCACAGGAUCUGCAUGGCGUUGAGGGGGCUGGGCAGGUCGCACACGGUGGACAGAGCGAUGAGGCUCAGGGCCGAGAUGCUCCUGCGGGGCACACACCGGGCACCGUCGAUGGCUGCACGCCGGACGCACGCGCAGCCCGACGGCCCUCGGAGACGCCGGCCUUGACUUACGUGCUCAGCUGAAACCGCACGAAGUUUUUGAUGUUAUGAAAAAUCCCCUUGCCUUCCUCCACCGCGUUCCUGCAAGAGGACAGAGCGUUUUUCGCAGAGGGCCCUCUGGGAGUGUCCGGGCACCUCCGGCAGCCGUGGGAGGGAGCGAUGGUGUCACCGGAGGUGGCCUCGCACGCAGGCGCCCCUUCCCCUUCCCCCCGCUGGCGGCUCCAGGACAGAGAGGUACAGGAGGACGGUGGCCUGGCCAGCACCACCCGCCGCGGGGGCCCGGACCGCAGGCCAUGAUCACCCUCUGUACGAAGACCAUAGAUCAUUCUCCCGCCUGAGCCCAGGGACCCCGCCCUCACCCGGGACUUGGGAAGCACUGACUGCAACCCAGAGAUGCAUCUGGACGACAGGCACAGCAAGACCGAUCAAACCUGCUAAUUCGCCCCAGGGGGGUGGCAUGGGGGGGAGAGAAUUAGGAGGCUGAAAAACAUCCUCGGUAUGUUCAGAAAACCGUAAAAGUCCUUUAAAAACCUUGAUCUUGAGUCAUGAAUGCAGAAAAGUGCCUAACCCUUUUUUUUCUGCUAAUUUUUUUUUUUUUGCAAAAGAACUAACAUUACAGAGUUAUUUAUCAACUGCAUCUCAGGACUUUUUUUUUUUUUUUUUUUUAACUAAGGGGGAAGGGGGCUAAGGAGUCAAUCCAUUUACAAAGACAAGCCUCCUCUGUAAAGUCAAAAAUCGCACCCAACUUCAGUGUUUGCUCAUUCAGAGUUCUGAUAGCAGGCUUAAGAAAACUUCCGUGCCACCCCCAAUUAUUACAAUGGAUUUAUGAAUAAAGUCUCGAUUACAACGAAUUAAAAUCAGAGCUAGAGGGAAGGCAAGCUUGUUAAGAAAACAGAGAAAAGGGAAACAAGAAACCAGGUGUUUUGCAAUCUCGGGAGCUUGCGAUCACACGAGGGCCAACAAUUAGACGCUCCUGCCCCGUCGCUCGUCGCUUUCAGCGCAUGAAACAUACGCAUCCGCACAUGCUCACUCUUAGCGUUUUUCACUUAACCCCACAAUGUGAGCAUUUCUCCGUCUUUAAAACGUUCCCCAAAACGUGAUGUUUCGUGGCUUCGUGGCACUCCCGCCCUUGCUGUCGGCAGUUAGGGUGGCCUAGGAUUUCCCCACAGACGGUGCUUCGGCCUACACACCGGAGCCCGCCUCCGUCUGUGCACCUGAACCCGGCUCGCCCGUCGGAUGCACCCUCAGGCCGUGAGGGGGGCAUGUCCCGAGGGGGGCAGCGGGUCACCGCGGGCAUUUCUGCCGCUGAAAACCAGCCAUGGAGCCACUCACAUGAUGGCCGAGAAGUCAUCAUCCACCAGGAUCACGUUGGCAGCCUCUUUGCUGACAUCUGUCCCCGUCUGCCCCAUGGCGAUCCCGAUGUCCGCAGACUUCAGGGCGACCGCGUCGUUCACCCCGUCCCCCGUCAUGGCCACGACUGCCCCCGACUCCUGCAAAGCCUUUGGAAAGAGGAGCAGAGGCGGUCUCCAGAGCAUCUCCCGUUAUCAUCGUCACGGACACGCCCGACUGGCGGAGAACCUGCACCGCUUCCUUCACGCCGGCCCUCGGAGGAUCGAUGAUUCCAACGAGACCCAGAAAAGUCAGCCUCCCCAGCUCAGGGAAAACCCAAGGCAACUGACACCCGGCCCCAGGCUUCUCACUUUCCCGGGAGGGAACCCACGAGUUCCAGAGCGCUUCUCUGAAAACGGACAGGCACUGUGGGAAACCCGAGUUUCCAGCUCAUCGGGGAAGGCGGCGUCCCCGAUGCAGGAGACUGGAAACGGCCGAGGAAUGAAAUGUCUGCCUUGAUGCGAAAGAGCUUUGGGUUUUCCUGACCGUGGGCGACGAGCAGGACGACCAAUCGGGAAAAUCAGCGUUUCUGGGGCGCCUCAGUCACGCGUCGGGAAACCCACAGGCGCCGCGUCUGGACUAGCGGGUGUCACAUGGUGGCAGAGGUGGGCCGGGGGCGGGGGGGGGGGGCCUCUCUGCCUUUCACGUGACCAUUGACCCGGAAGGUCACUGCUGCACACUUAAAGCGUGGUGCUGGGGACGAGAGGUACCAACCCCGCAGGCCGAGCGACCCCAUCCU